rnacentral:rRNA from 1 species
GGCUUGUUGAUAAUAAUUUCAAGUCUGACCUGCCCUAUGAGUGUUUAAAUGGCCGCGGUAAAUUGACCGUGCAAAGGUAGCAUAAUCAUUAGUUUUUUAAUUGGAAGCUGGAAUGAAAGGUUUGAUGAGAAAACAUCUGUCUCUAGAAAAGUUGAUUAGAAUUUUAUUUUUAAGUGAAAAAGCUUAAAUUAUUAUAGAAGACGAGAAGACCCUAUAGAGUUUUAUAUUACAUGGGCAUAGAAAGGUAUAGGAAUUGAAAUUUUUCUAUUUUUGUUAGUAUUUUGUUGGGGUGACAGGAAAAUUAAGUAAACUUUUCUUGGAUUGUGACACUUAUUGGUGGAUUGAUGAUCCUAGUUUUUAGAUUAUAAGAUUAAAUUACCUUAGGGAUAACAGCGUAAUUUUUUUGAGAGUUCUUAUCGAAAAAGAAGUUUGCGACCUCGAUGUUGGAUUAAAAUUAAUUGCUGGUGAAGAGGCUAGUAUAUUGGGUCUGUUCGACCUUUGAAAUUUUACAUGAUCUGAGUUUAAACCGGCGUGAG